GUCUAUGGCCAUGCCACCCUGAACAAGCCUGAUCCAGUCUGAUCUCAGAAGCUAAGCAGGGUCGGGCCUGGUUAGUACUUGGAUGGGAGACCACCUAGGAAGACCAGGUGCUGUAGGCG
rnacentral:rRNA from 1 species